UAAGGAAUAUUGGUCAAUGGAGGCAACUCUGAACCAGCCAUGCCGCGUGCAGGAAGAAGGCCCUAUGGGUCGUAAACUGCUUUUGAACAAGAGAAAACCCCGGUACGUGUACUGGGUUGAUAGUAUUGUUAGAAUAAGCAUCGGCUAACUUCGUGCCAGCAGCCGCGGUAAGACGAAGGAUGCAAGCGUUGUUCGGAAUUACUGGGCGUAAAGCGCACGUAGGUGGCGACGUAAGUCGGGUGUGAAAGCCCCGGGCUCAACCUGGGAAUUGCAUUCGAGACUGCAUUGCUGGAGUACGGAAGAGGAGGGCGGAAUUCCCGGUGUAGCGGUGAAAUGCGUAGAUAUCGGGAGGAACAUCAGUGGCGAAGGCGGCCCUCUGGUCCAGUACUGACACUCAAGUGCGAAAGCGUGGGGAGCAAACAGGAUUAGAUACCCCAGUAGUCCCUGAGCGGGCUGGCAAGGCGCAU
rnacentral:rRNA from 1 species